UACGUAGGUGGCGAGCGUUGUCCGGAAUUACUGGGUGUAAAGGGAGCGCAGGCGGGGAAACAAGUCAGCUGUGAAAACUAUGGGCUUAACCCAUAAACUGCAGUUGAAACUGUUUUUCUUGAGUGGAGUAGAGGUAGGCGGAAUUCCGAGUGUAGCGGUGAAAUGCGUAGAUAUUCGGAGGAACACCAGUGGCGAAGGCGGCCUACUGGGCUCUAACUGACGCUGAGGCUCGAAAGUGUGGGGAGCAAACAGGAUUAGAUACCCUGGUAGUCCACACUGUAAACGAUGAUUGCUAGGUGUGGGGGGUCUGACCCCUUCCGUGCCGCAGCUAACGCAAUAAGCAAUCCACCUGGGGAGUACGGCCGCAAGGUUG
rnacentral:rRNA from 1 species